CAACAAUGAGCCUGCAUUUCACUGAAAAUACAGAGAAAUCAGCUUUCUUACCUUAUCAAACUGCCCAAAAAAUACCGUUUUCAUCUGACAAGUUGCCAGAAAUUUUCAACAAGUUUUCAGUGAAACCUGGAUCACUGAAGGCAGAGAUGAUGAAGAACACAAUUAAGGAGUGCGAACAGCCAGCGAUUGAAGGAGAGGAAAAAUAUUGUGCAACCUCACUGGAGUCAAUGAUUGACUAUAGCAUUUCCAAACUAGGGAAAGUUGAUCAGGCAGUCUCAACAGAAGUGGAAAAACAAACCCCAACGCAGCAGUAUACAAUAACAGCUGGAGUGCAGAAGAUGACAAAUGGCAAAGCUGUAGUGUGCCACAAGCAGAAUUAUGCAUAUGCUGUCUUCUAUUGUCAUAAAUCAGAAACAACAAGGGCUUACAUGGUUCCUUUAGAGGGUGCUGACGGAACAAAAGCCAAAGCAGUAGCAGUCUGCCACACAGAUACAUCAGCAUGGAACCCUAAGCAUUUGGCUUUUCAAGUCCUAAAAGUUGAGCCAGGAACCAUUCCUGUCUGCCAUUUCCUUCCUCGGGAUCACAUUGUUUGGGUCCCUAAGUAAAAGUCCUGAAGAGUAGAUUCAUACACUAUAGUUUCUUCACAGUGUGCAUUAAAACAGCUUAAAGCAAUAUCCAGUUUGUUCUAUAAUAAUAUACCCACAAGUUUAGUCAUGUAAAAUCUAUCCAUGAAUCAUGUUCUUAGUAAUGGAUAAAAUGAUAUUACUUUCUGUAUCACAAGGGUUUGGUGAUAAAUGUAUUAGUAUUUUAAGUAACUUUUCAGACAUCGUAUUCCAAGUAACUUUGCGGACAUUAUGUUUCUCCAUUAGAUUACUAAUUCUCUUUCAUCACAGAUUAGCCAUCUCCACAGGAAAAUUCUCUGAAGGUAAACUAUCAUGUUCAUCACUCGAUUGCAAUCCGAGAAGAAAUUGUUUUUCCUAUGUCCCAAUAGCAGAAAAAUUUUGGACCAAUUUACAUGAUACAUAUGAGAAUUUUCUAAACAGAGUGUCAUGUCAUGUAUCUCGAAGGAUGCUAACUUAAUAUAGUAAGACCAGCAUUAAAAUCUUUUCAGAUAUGAGUAGGUUCCAAAGUACUCAAAUUUGAGCACCUGUACGGAACAAACCAUUGUGUGCACUGUGCAGCUCUUCGUGUCUGAUUCCUCCACCACUGUGAUGAGCAGCUGCAGCAUCCUCAGUGGCUAACCUCAGGCCCUUGAAAGACUUAUUCAACAGAUUAUGGUGAUAAGUCAAAUAAUUAUAAAUGAUGUCGGCUCCACGGAUCCUUUUAUUCCUGCAAUGCGGAUAAAUGCCCAAGAAUGUUUUAUAAUUAGAAAUGCCUGGAGAAACAAACAAAACCUAUUGGUUAGUUGUGUAAUAUAAUUAUAUACGUGUAUAUGUAUAUAUAGAAACAUGAUUCAUGAGGUUGCUUUAAUCAUUUUCUUCCCCAAUAAUCUGAGUUUUACUGCUCUCUAAUGAUUAUUACUAUCCAAUAAAGAAAAAUGACUUCUUAAACCAAUGUUGGUUUGCCAAAAAAAUAAUCCAACAACAAUAUUUGUUUUCUGAUCACCAAAUUGCAGUGCUGAAAUUUUUUUUAAACGAGUGGAUGACACAAAUCUCCACCAAAGCAAAUGGUUAUGAAACAAAUGGGGUCUUAAUGAAGUGGGGGCAAGGGGUGUUGUUCCAAUAGGGUCGGAAGCGUGUAAAUUAUUGUACUAAAAAAUCACACAAAGUUCAAUUCUCAGGGAAGAGAGGUGGAUCACAUGGAUCUCUUAAAUACCAAGUCUUUCCUUAGACAGAAUAUCCCUUCUAUAGUAAUUUAAUAGCACAAUUAAAUACUACUAUUAUACCCUCAAAUAUUGAAAGAAAAAUAGGACAAGAAAGAACACAAGAGUUUUAACGAGGUUCGGUAAAUUAUACCUACGUCCUCGGGCACUAACACCAGAUGAUAACUUUACUAACUUCAAAGUAUUACAAACAAAUAGAAUUCCUUAAGAAUUCUCAAAUGGGAGAAAAAGAAAACUAAGAGAGAAAGAUUGGUUGGGAUGAAUUGAAAUGAGAAAUGAGAAGGCCUAUUUAUAGUUGAGGUUCAAGGACCAAACAAUAAAUAGCCCAUUAUCUCAAGGACCAAAAAAAAAUUAUCCUUGCCACUUUUCCAAAGUUGGUGGUUGUCAUUAUUGAUUGUCUCCCAUUAAUGUUAAUGGCAACCAUUAUUAAUUGUCUUCCAUUAAUGUUAACAAUCUCCACCUUGAAGAUUUGAUUAGGAUAAUCACAUCUUCACACACUUCCUUCAACUCCCCAAAUUCGAUAAAGCUAUCUUUUGUAGUGCCUACAAAUGCGCUCUCGAGCGCCAUACACCUGAAGGUGCUCAAAUUCUCAGUAUGUUAAUCAAGUUCAAACAAUGAUUAAACUUGAUUGUUGUUACCACCUUGGUCAUCAUAUCUGCGGGAUUAUCUGCUGUCGGAAUCUUCUGAAGUAGAAUUUUUCCUUUUUCAAAGACUUCCCGCACAAAGUGAUAUCUUACGUCGAUAUGCUUGGUUCUUGAAUGAUAGACUUGAUUUUUCGCUAAAUGAAUAGCGCUCUGACUGUCACAAUAUAAACUUAUGUGACUUUGAACAACUCCUAAGUCUUUCAACAAUCCAUUAAGCCAAAUAGCCUCCUUAACAGCUUCUGUAACUGCCAUAUAUUCUGCCUUUGUAGUAGACACAGCUACUGUAGACUGUAAGGUAGACUUCCAACUCACUAGGGCUUUCGCAAGAGUAAACAGAUACCCCGUAGUUGAACGACGUUUAUCUAAAUCACCAGCAAAGUCGGAAUCAACAUAUCCAACUACAAACUGACCAAGUGCUUCAUCCUGUUCAAAAAUUAAACCAACAUCUACGAUUUUUCGAAGAUACCGUAGAAUCCAUUUCACAGCUUGCCAAUGUCCUUUUUCAGGAUCAUGCAUAUACCUGCUCACAACUCCAACAGCUUGUGAAAUGUCAGGCCUCGUACACACCAUCGCAUACAUCAAACUCCCAACUGCAUUAGCAUAUGGGACUUUCGCCAUAUAUUCUCUUUCAUCUUUAGUCUUCGGAGAUAAUUGAGCACUAAGUUUCAAAUGAGAAGCAAGUGGGGUACUUACAUGUUUUGUGUUUUCAUUUACACCAAAACAUUGUAAUACCUUUUUCAGAUAUUGCUUCUGAUUUAAACAGAGCUUGCCUCUCGGUCUAUCUCUACUUAUCUCCAUGCCGAGAAUCUUCUUGGCCUCACCUAGAUCUUUCAUCUCGAACUCUUGAUUCAACUGAGCCUUCAGCUUAUCUAUCUCAUUUUGGCUCUUCGAAGCGAUUAACAUAUCAUCAACAUACAAGAGUAGAUAAAUGAAAGAUCCGUCAUGCAGCUUCUGCAAAUAUACACAAUUGUCAUAUUUGCUUCUUGUGUACUUUUGCCUUCUCAUAAAGCUAUCAAAUCGCUUGUACCACUGCCUCGGGGAUUGCUUCAAUCCAUAUAGCGAUUUGUUAAGCUUACAAACCCAAUUUCUACCACCAGCAUCUGUGUAUCCUUCUGUCUGAGUCAUAUAGAUCUCCUCUUCUAACUCACCAUGCAAGAAAGCCGUCUUAACAUUGAGCUAGCUCCAAAUUCAACUGUGCUACCAAGGCCAACAAAAUUCUAAUGGAGGAAUGCUUCACAACAGGGGAAAAUACAUCAUUGUAGUCAAUUCCCUCCUUCUGAGCGUAGCCUUUAGCUACCAAUCUUGCCUUGUAGCGAAUAUCCUUCUUGCUAGGAGAUCCAUCUUUCUUUGCGAAUACCCACUUGCAUCCGAUUGCCCUUUUACCUUUCGGUAAUUGCGCCAACUCCCAAGUAUUGUUCUUCCGGAGAGACUGCAUUUCUUCAUCCAUGGCGCUUUUCCAUUUAUCACUUUCUAAGCUUUGCAUUGCUUCUUGAUAAGUGAUAGGAAUAUCAUCAACAACGAGAAGGGCGUAGGCCACCAUAUCAGUAAAUCGAGUAGGUUUACGAAUUUCUCUCCGUGGCCUUGCAACUGCAACUGGUUCUGGUGUACUUAGUGGUUCUUGGGUCAGAACCUCUUCAACCUCUAAUUCCUCCAUUGUGGCUGGAGAAUUAGACUUAUUGACUGGGCAAAUCCCCAUCUGCUCAAACUCCACCUGUUUUGGAGUACACUCCACCUGCUGUGGAGUAUUGCUCGUCUGAAUAUCUUUAUCUGCUACCUUUUUCAAUGUGGCAGAUUCAUCAAAGGUAACAUCUCUGCUACAAAUCAUUUUCUUUGUGCUUAAGCACCAAAGACGAAAUCCCUUCACUCCAGAAGUGAUUCCUAUAAAGAGAGCUUUCUUUGCCCUCGGAUCUAAUUUUGACUCCUUUACAUGGUAAUAUGUAGUGGUUCCAAACACAUGUAAGGAAUCAUAAUCUGUAGCCGGUUUUCCAGACCAUACCUCCAUAGGAGUUUUUCUUUCUAAUGCAGAUGAUGGCAAACGAUUAACAAGAUGGCCAGCGUAUGUCACAGCCUCAGCCCAAAAUUGCUUGCCCAACCCAGCAUUGGACAACAUACAUCGAACUUUCUCCAGCAAUGUUCGAUUCAUACACUCUGCCAAUCCAUUCUACUGUGGUGUAUCCCUAACUGUGAAGUGUCGAACAAUACCAUACUCUUGGCACACAUCGAAGAACGGAUCACUUUUAUAUUCCCCUCCAUUGUCCAUCCUAAGCCGCUUGAUUUUCUUGCCAGUCUGGUUUUCGAUCAUAGUUUUCCAUUUAAGAAAAACUCUAAGCACUUCAUCCUUAGUUCUCAUGGUAUACACCCAAACUCUUCUGGAAAAGUCAUCAACAAAAGUAACAAAGUAGUGUUUUCCUCCCAAUGAACGUGUCUUGGAAGGCGCCCACACAUCUGAGUGAACAUAUUCCAAAAUACCUUUUGUAUUAUGGAUAACAGUACCGAAUUUCACUCUCUUUUGCUUUCCCAGAACACAAUGCUCGCAAAAUUUUAAUUUGCAAGCCUUUGCACCUUUCAACAAUCCUUGCUUUGCCAGAAUUUGCAAGGAUUUUUCGCUGGCAUGUCCCAACUUCAUAUGCCACAACUGUAUUGAGUCCAAUUCUUUGUUGCCGGAAGCUGCAGCGACUGCUCCAAUAACUGUACUACCUUGGUAGUAAUACAAGUUAUUUUUCCUGAUGCCCUUCAAUAUCACAAGUGCGCCAGAUGUCACUUUCAAAACCCCAUCUCUCAUAGUAACAACUGAACCAUUGGAUUCCAAGGCUCCCAAUGAGAUGAGAUUUUUCUUCAAACUGGGCACGUACCGAACAUCAGUCAGAACUCUGGUUGAUCCAUCUUUAUUCUUUAAUUGGAUUGAACCUAUCCCAACAGUUUUACAGGCAUUGUCAUUGCCCAUAUAAACAACUCCUCCAUUUAGUUCUACUAAAUCAGAGAACCACUCCCGGUUAGGGGACAUAUGAUAGGUACAACCCGAAUCCAAUAUCCACUCAUCUGAAUGGAACGACGAUGAUGAUGCAACCAGUGAUAGUUCAGAGUCACUAGUAUCAUGCUUAGCAACACAAGCAUCUAUAGCAGCUUUUCCCUUAUUCUUCAGCUUUGGACAAUUUUUAUUCCAGUGGCCUUUCUCAUGAUAAAAAGCACAUUCAUCUUUCCCAAGUCUGGACUUUGACUUUGAUCUCCCCUUUUGAGUUUUCUUCCGAGUGUAUGAACGACCUCGGACUACUAAAGCUUCUGUAUCUCUGAUUGAGUUUUUCUGUUUGUCCUUCUUUCUCUGUUCAUAACUGUAUAAGGCCGCACAGACUUCGCUCAGAGAUAUAUCACUCCUGCCAUGAAGUUGAGUAGUUUCUAGGAACUCAAACUCCUCAGGAAGUGACCCCAACAGCAUCAAAGCCAAAUCUUCAUCUUUGAAUGUCUCAUCCAUAUUCAACAAAUCAGUGACUAACUGAUUAAAUUUGGUGAUGUGAUCAUUCAUUGUGGUACUUGGGACGUAUGUGAAGCGAAAUAGUCUUUUCUUCAAGUGGAGCUUAUUUUGACUGUUUUUCUUCAAAAAAAAUUUUUCAAGUGCCACCCACAACUUAUUUGCAGAAGUCUCCUUUGAAAAAGCAUACCUCUGCUCUCGAGAAAGGCAUGAUCGAAUUGUGCCACAUGCCAACCGAUUGAUUGCCUUCCAAUCUUUCUCCUAUACAUCAUCUGGUUUCUCUUCAUCAAUGGCAAUGUCUAGACCCUGCUGAAAAAGGGCAUCUAGAACAUCACUUUGCCACAUACCAAAAUGGCCCGUACCAUCAAAGAUCUCCACGGCCAAUCUUGCAUUUGCAAUUGUCGGUCUUGUCCACAUGGACGAUGUUGAAGCUCCUACACUGACCGUUUUCUCCAUAAUCUUUCAAUAUACCUAAGGAAAUCUUUUCUGAUGUGGAAGAUCAGUUUAAACUGCAACCACAGAGCAUACUACGAUUAACCUUCGGCUCUUGAUACCACUUGUUGUUCCAAUAGGGUCGGAAGCGUGUAAAUUAUUGUACUAAAAAAUCACACAAAGUUCAAUUCCCAGGGAAGAGAGGUGGAUCACAUGGAUCUCUUAAAUACCAAGUCUUUCCUUAGACAGAAUAUCCCUUCUAUAGUAAUUUAAUAGCACAAUUAAAUACUACUAUUAUACCCUCAAAUAUUGAAAGAAAAAUAGGACAAGAAAGAACACAAGAGUUUUAACGAGGUUCGGUAAAUUAUACCUACGUCCUCGGGCACUAACACCAGAUGAUAACUUUACUAACUUCAAAGUAUUACAAACAAAUAGAAUUCCUUAAGAAUUCUCAAAUGGGAGAAAAAGAAAACUAAGAGAGAAAGAUUGGUUGGGAUGAAUUGAAAUGAGAAAUGAGAAGGCCUAUUUAUAGUUGAGGUUCAAGGACCAAACAAUAAAUAGCCCAUUAUCUCAAGGACCAAAAAAAAAUUAUCCUUGCCACUUUUCCAAAGUUGGUGGUUGUCAUUAUUGAUUGUCUCCCAUUAAUGUUAAUGGCAACCAUUAUUAAUUGUCUUCCAUUAAUGUUAACAAGGGGUGUCUUCAGAUGCAUAUGAAUUUGGUUUACAGGCGAGAUAGAUCACAAAUAUUAUAUUGAUAAAAAAAAUUGAUAUCGUUCGUGGAAAAUCAUUAGUGGAAUGAAGGAGUUAAAGUUCACAUGUUAUUCAUAGAAUGAAUUGAAAGAGUUGAGAGUUUUGAGAGAGAAUUUCAGAAAAAUAAUAAGUGGGAUGUGCAUGUUUUUCUAGAUUAUUUGAAGGCAUGUACGUAAUUAUGCACAACUUAUGGAAUAUAAGUGUUUUAUAUGUAUAAUAUAUUUAUUAAGUUACGAUGAAUCCUUUCACACGUUACUUUUAAAGUUAUGUAAAGUCUUAUUUUUAUAAGUAGUUUUAAGUUAAUAUUAAUGUGAUUGGACGAGACCCACAUAUUGAACAUAUAAAAAAAGUAUCGAUAAUCAUGUAAAAUAAAAUGUAAUCUUCAAAGUAAGUGAAUUUUUUUAAUCAAAAUGGAUUGACUUGACGAAAUUUUUUAAAACGAAAUAAAUAAAUAUCAUCUUACAUAUAUUUAUAUAUGUGUGCAAUAUACAUAAAUGUACCCUUAGCCCACCAAAACUUUCUUUCGCAAAUUUUAGACGGCGAACCAAAACCAAGGUACCUAACCACGUCCUACAAACCAGAUGUUCGUAUAGGUUAGAUGCAGGAUUAAGAAGCCACAACCUAUAAGGCUAAAACUUGCCACAUGCCCAUAUGACAUCUUACUUUCAAAAAAAAGAAAAAACAUGACAUUCAACUCAAAUCCUAUACAAAUACCUUUAUUUGUAAGAAGAAAUUUUCUCAUUUAUUGACUAUAAUUAUUAGAUUUUACAAGUAAAAUUUACAAAGUGGCACAGAUAUUUAGUCCAAUGAUAAAUCCGCUUUAUAGAUGAAAAGUAUAAAAAAUUAUAUAUUUUUCUUUUAAAUGAAAGCUAAAUUAAAAAAAAAACAAUUAUAUGGCUGAUUGUUUUUAUUGUAUUUUAAAAAAAGUUAAGUGAGUAGGUUUUUUACCCUGUGAUUCCCAAAAAAAAUGUUGUCAUCGAGGAUUGUUACCUAUACACAGAUAAAUUCAAGGAAAACUAUUUCAUGCAAGCUAAUCAUAUUUAAAAGCAAGCAAAGGGUCGUAAACAUUGUAGAUUGGAGCAUUUCAUGAAACAUAGUUACAAGCUAGAGUAUCAUCCCAUGACCCAUAGCAGUCUUCUAUAUUAUUGGGUUUUUGCAAACUUGGGCUUGAAUACACAAAUAGAAUAUAAUCACAGAAAACUUUGUUUUUUGUGUAUUGAAUUUGGGUUUAUGCUUCAUUUUAUUAUCGACAAUGAUAUCAGAACCUAUUUUAAAUCCAACAUCAUGACGAUUUGAUUUUUAUUUGUUUAAUAAUAUUUUGUCCCCUAACUAAUUGGCAAUUGAAAACUUCUACCCUUUGUAUGCAUGAUUAGUUUAGAAAUUUUGUGCAUAAUUAUCAAGCAACGUCGUGAUUACAAUUCUUGAACUCGAUUCCAUGAUAAGGAGUUCAAAUUUUAAAGUCGACCAAAGCAAGUUAGUAUCUUUCACUCUUUUAACAUAUAUUUCCAACUUCAUAUAUAAACAUUUAUUUAUACUCAUGGUUUAGAAACAGGGCUGAAAAAACUCUCUUGAAAGCAGAUACCAUUGGCGGCAGCCAUGGGUUUAUGUGAAGAAGAAAAGAUGCCUCUAUCUCUAUGAGUAGAAUUAUUGCAGUGGGUCACACCUUCGCUUUCAUUUACUUCAACUUCUCAGGUAAUAUUCCAACAUUACAGCGUUGAAUUGUUUGCAAAUUUAUUUACCUCAUAUUCCCACUUUCUUUGAUCUCUCCUUGUCCCAACCACGUUGGAUUUUGAACCAUUUGGUCUUAUAUUACAUAACAUACAAAUGAAAAGAAAAGAAAAACAUUUGCGAUUCCGACCAUAAAUAAAUAAUGUUCUGUUCUGUAACGAGAAACAGCCAAAGCUUCCAGCACUUACAAUAAUAAUAAAAGUAAUGAGGGUAAAGGCUUCAAAGUUUUUUUUUUUUUUGUUUUUUUUUAAAUAAAGGAUAAGGAGUAAGGAUUAUCUUAUGAUCCAACUUAGCAUUAGUGUUUAAUUGAAAAUUUAAAUACAAUAACUUCAAGAUAGAGUACAGUGUCCGUGUGGUGUUUGUUUUUCUACCUUCCCUGCAGGAUCCGAAACUUCCAAUUCAAGUUUCUUGCUAUAGAUAAGGUGUUUCGUAAGAAAACGUAAGUCUUAAAAGAGUUACAAGACAGCACCAGUUAUAUGGCCCUUGCUAGAUUCAUAGUUACUUUCCCAUGUACCGACUCUAAAGUGAAUGACUUUUUUUUUUCUUUGCAUAGCACUUUUUUUUUCCCCGAAAAGGAUAGGUAUCAAAAUGAUAUAUGUAUUUUAGGGCCAACACUCAGAACCACUUUUUGACCACUCAUAGUUUAGUUAAAAUCAAAUUUCGUUCUGUCUUUUGACACACUAUUUUCUCUGUCUAUUGAAAUGCUCUUCUGCUGUUGUUAGCACGCUUUCGUCUCUUGUUUUGCUUGUUGUUUAUUUUCUUUGAUUUAGUCAUUAUUGUAGUUAAGAACAUUGAUGAUUCUAUAGCAGACCUGUCACUGGAGUAUGAUGAAGAUGAAACCAUUCAAUUAGGGGCCGAAUCUUCAGAGAGUGAAACCUUGUAUGCUAAUUGUUUUGUAGGAAUGUUUCUUACCUCCAGUGUAGUUAAUUUCCAAGCGAUGAGAUUGACUUUGGCUAAUUUUUGGCAUCCAAUAGAGGGAGUCUCAAUCUCGAAUCUAGGCAAUGAAAGAUUCUUAUUCAAAUUUUAUUUUGAAGUUGACGUGGACAAAGUUGAAAAAAAUGGGUCAUGGAAUUUCAACUCUCAUCUAUUGGUGCUACAUCGGUUAAAGGAAGAGGAAGACCCUUUAUCUGUUCAAUUAAAUUGGGUAGACUUUUGGAUGCUUAUCCAUGAUCUUCCCCUUGGUUUCAUGUCUGAAGCGGUUGCUAGACAGUUGGAUAGUUUUAUUGGUGUUUUCCUUGAAUAUGAUGCAUCAACGACUCAGUUGGGUUAUAAAAGAAUAAUGAUGUUAAAUGUGCGAAUUGAUGUUAGAAAACCAUUGAAAAAGAAGAAGAAACUCACCUCUCGAAUGGUGAGUGGAUUUAUGUUCGAUUUGAAUAUGAAAAACUCAUUUUAUUUUGUUUCCUUUGUGGUAAACUAAGGCAUGGUAAAACUUUUUACCCGAUCAGAGCUCACAAUCCGCUACAAGAGUAUGUUUUCCGUUGGGAUAUAUCUUUACGUGCUCAGUUAAGGAAAAAUUUGGCUUGGAAGAGUAGAUGGUUGGUGGAGGAUGACGAUUGUGGUACUUUAAUUUAUGGAAACUAUAACACCCCUAACCCUUAUCCGUCGCCGGAACAGGGUUACAAAACAUUACCAGACUUUACAGAUUAAAUAUGAACAUUUCACAACUUUUAUUAUACAUGUUAAGAAUCAGUUAUAAAACACUCAUGUUGUCCCUUAGAUGGACCCUCAAGGCACAAUAUACACUUUAGAAAUGAAUUGGGACUAAACCGGAUACUUAGAGAAUUUUUCCUAAAAUCUCAAAAAAAUUUCUUAAAAGUAGGGGACACACGUCUGUGUGGCUCACACAGCCAGGAGACACACCCGUGUCUUAAGCCGUGUAGGCAUUCGAUGUGAGGCACACAACCGUGUCUCAGCCCGUGCCCUUACCCGUGUAACUCUCUGACUUGGGUCACACGGCCAUCCACAUGCCCGUAUGCUAGGCCGUGUGCAAGAUGUAAAGGUCACACAGCCAAGCCACACACCCGUGUGCUAAGCCGUGUGUAAAAACUUGAGCAUUCUGUUUUAAAAUUUUAAGGUGCAGGGGACACACGGCCAGACCAUACGCCCAUGUGUCAGGCCGUGUGGACGAAAAUAGACCAUUUUCAAUACAUCAAAUAGCCCCAAUCAAACAAUCAACACAAGCCAAAAAUCAUGUUUUAAACAUAAUAUAUCAUCACAAAACUCAAUUGCCAAAACUUACCAAAAUAACUCCGUUCAUUGAUUUACCAAAAUCUACUACUAAAUAUAUGCAUACUAACACAUAUAUAUGUCAUUCACAACCAUACUUCAAAUUUAGCUCUUUUCUAACUCGGCCCUAUACAUGUCAUAUAAACCAUAAAAUGUAUAACAAAAUCUACUGGAGCAAACUAGAUAGUGUGGCUCUAUGUGUUGAUCCGAUGCUUUAAACUUCUUAAAAAUCUAAAAAGAACAUUAAACGACACAGUAAGUUUAAUGAAGCUUAGCAAGUUCGCUGGCUUUAAAUAUAAAUCUUACCGAACAUACUAUAAUAAUUUAUUUAGGUAAAUUAUUUCACAAACAUUUCCUGCCAAUCACAACUUCAAUUAAUGAAUUCACUCAUUUGAGCUCAAUAUCAAUAAUAACUUAAAUUCUUCCACAUUAAUUCCAUUUGGCACUUACCAAUCAUUAUCAAACCAGAGAACGUCUUACGGAUUUGAGUACAUCGUAAAUAGAAAUCCAUAAGGGUUCAUCUAAAGCUCAAAAGAGUUAAACGGAAACCCAUUAGGGUUAAAUUGAAGCUCAAAAGAGCUAAACUGAAAUCCAGAAGCGUUAAUUUGAAACUCAUGAGUUUACUGAAGCUCGUGAGAGCUAAACGGAAAGCAAAUACGAGAGUUCGCAACAAAUGUUGAACAUCGGUUUACUUGGGUAAUUUUACCGUCAAUUCCUAUUUUGCACUAAACGACUAUACUCAAUCCUACGUUCCAUUCACUUCAAACACUUGAUGCAAUUUCAUAAAUUUAACAAUAAUUUUAUUUUCAACAAAUGUUACGAAUAAAUACAAAAAAUCAUUCAUCAAUUAACAUAUCACAUUAAAUUUUAACCAUUAGAACUUACCUGGGUUAAAUUGUGGAAAUUGUAAUGGUUCAGAGAUUAUUUGGCUAUUUUCCCAUUUUUCGCGUUGGUCUAAGGGCUCUUGAUCUAAAAUAUAAAAUUAUUAAUUCAUUAGCACAUGCUUCAAUUCUAAUUCACUUCACAAUUUAUACCACUCAAUUUUUGAAAUUAUACAAUUACCUCAACUUUUACAGUUUUUGUAAUUUAGUCCAUCGCCAAUUAACUCAUCAAAUAAGCUAAUUUUUCUCAAGUAACACUUUAUCUAAAUAUUUUAAACUAUUACACAGCCUUUGAUAAACAUAAUUUAAUACUAAACCCUAAGAUUUAAUUUUUUUACAAUUUGGUCCUAAAAUCAAUUUCCCUUGAAAGCACUUGAUAAAAUCAUCAUAUAACAAAAUUAAAACUUCAAAUCCAUGUUAAUUCAUCAUAAAAAUGCAGCACUCAUCAAUGGUAGCUUUCAAGAUUACUCAUAAAAUCAAAAACUAAUGAAUUAGAUAGUUAGACCUAAUUACAGAAGUCUUAAAAACACAAAUUUUAAGAAAAGAGCAAGAAUUGAACUCACAUGUAGCAAAAUAUGAAAUCCAACUUCUUAAGGGUUCUUCAAUGGUGUUUUUAGCUGAUAAAUUGAAGAAGAAUAACUUAGAAAAGUUGAGAAUUCAAUUUAUUUAAGUUUAUUUCACAAAAUUUACAAUUUUGCCCUUUAAUCACAUGAUUUUUGUUUUCUUUUCUGCUUAUGCCGCCUCAGGCCUUUGUUUUAGGCAUAAUUGCUCCUUAAGUCCUUCUUUGUUCAUUAAUUAAGUCAUUUAAUCAUUAUUUCUUUAAUUAGCAAGUUUUGCACCUUUUUCUAAUUUAAUCUUUUUUAAUUAAUUAACUAUCGAAACGUUAAAAUUUUCUAACGAAAUAUUUAUAAAAAUAUUUACAGCUCAGUUUAUAAAAUCGAGAUCUUGAUACCUCGUUUUCAAAACUAGUUAAUCUAACAAAUAUUUCUAAAGCAUAAAUCACUAAUUCAUAAGCCUUCUUAAAUUCAGAAUCGAAUCAAAAACACUAUAUAAUAAAAUUUAUGAAUUAAUUUAUCGGAUUUAGUGUUCUCAAACUACUAUUUUCGAAACUACUGAAAAUUGGACUGUUACAAAAACUCUAUAAAAAUACGGAAAGGAGAAAUUUUGAGGUUUCAUAAUCUGUUUGCAUAAAUCAAUGAGCAAAUUCAGAAUUUAUUUCCAAUUAUUCCCUCUCAACAAAAGGAAUGGUGAAUGUCUAGUUGACUUCAAGCCCAAUAAAUAUGGGUGAAAUGGGUCGAGCUUACAACGAAGCUAGGAACAUCUUUGAUGCGAAUAUGGCAAUUUAUGAGGAGGAGAAUAACCCAAUAAAAUAAAGUGAUGGGCUAAAAAGACCUUUUUUUAAGUCUACUUCAGGAGUUUCUAAUAAGGAAGAUUUGAAUGAAGUUUCGGGUACUCUAUUACAGGUACCAAAUUCUAGUAGAUCGCCAGGCCCUGCUAAGUGGGCUAGUCGGAUGCAAUGAAGCUGUUGAGUUGGAACAUUCAGGUAAAGGGGAGGUCUUGGACAGUUUGUUGUCUCCAGCAUAUGCUGAGAGAUAUAAAUCUCUCUAUAGUGUUCCUAAUUGAGAUGAAACUAUAGGGUUUUAAUAUGGAAGGAACAAGACGCAAAUGUGGAUUUCUUAAUGGGAUGGAUGUUGAUUCAUAUGGUAGAAGUGAGGGUUUAUCAAUGGGUUGGAGUAGCGAUUAUAAGAUUUGUCUUCGGUCUUUUUCGAGAAGGGACAUUGGCAUUAUGAUUGAUAAGGAUACUGAUGGUAAAACUUGGUGAUGUACGGGGUUUUAUGAAGUGCCCGAGGAGAAUCUGAGGAGGCAUCGUAAAAUUUAUUGCAUUCUUUAGAUGACUGCCCACAUAUCCCUAUGUUUGUAAUAGGGGAUUUUAAUGAAAUAGCUUAUUCAUCUGAAAAGAAAGGUGGAUUACUUCAGAGGGAGAGACAAAUGAGAAGAUUUUGGGAAGCUCUUUAUGAUUGCUCUCUUACAGAUUUGGGCUAUAGAGGACAAUGGUUUACCUGGGAAAAAGGUCGUACUCGAGCAAACAAUAUUAGGAAACGUUUGGAUCAAAGGGUAGCUAAUGCAGUUUGAUGGGAUUUAUUUCAAAAUUACAAAAUGCAUCAUCUCACGCAUUCUUUUUUAUUGCAAUCAGAUUUUGAAAAUAAUCAUGCGAAAUGGUGUCACUUCAAGUUCGAGGUUGCGUGGCUUUUGGAAGAAACGUGUGAGUCAAAUGUUCUAAAAUUAUAGACUGAAAAUUUGGGUGAUGUCCUUAAUAGAUUGAAGGUGUUUGGUGUGGGCCUUAAAGCGUGGUUCAAAAGGAUUAAAAAGAUAGGGGUUUGUCGAAAAAAGAUCUUAAGAAGCAAUUCAUUAAGUUGAACAAAUCAUACCUAACUGAUGAGGUGUUGGGUGAUAUUGUUGAGAUAAAACUAGCCCUUAAUAUGGAGGCCGGUAGGGAGGAACUCUACUGGGAACAAAGAGCCAGAGCUAAUUGGAUGAAAAAUGGUGACCGAAACACAAAAAUUGCAACAAAAAGAAGACGAAGGAAUAUGAUGGAUAAACUACUAGAUUUUGAUGAAAAUUAUUAUAAGAGCAAUGAGGAGCAGUUGUCACUUGCCACUGACUACUUUGCCUCUCUAUUCACUUCAACUAGAAUCGAAAAUCCAGGUUCUAUAUUAGAAGGGGUUGAGCCGUGCAUUACUCGAGCAAUGAACGAGGAACUUGCAAAGGAUUUUUCUUACGAGGAUAUUUGUAUGGCGUUAAAAUCAUGAAUACAUUAAAGACUUCUGGUGAGGAUGACUUGGGUGCAAUUUUUUAUCAAUGGUUUUGGCAUAUUAUGGGUAAAGAGGUAGCAAAUUAUUGUAUUGAGAUUUUAAAUGGAGGCACAAUAUCGCUGAAAUCAACCAGACACAAAUUGUUUUAAUCCCUAAGGUUAGCUGUCCAUGAAUUAUGGCUCUAUUUAAACCGAUUAGCCGUUAUAAUACCCUUUACAAAAUUAUUGCAAAAAUGCUAGUGAAUAGGUUUUAAAAAGUCUUUCACUAUUGUAUAGAUGAGGUACAAAGUGCAUUUGUACCAGGGAGGCUUAUCACUGAUAAUAUUUUAGUUGUCUAUGACGUUUUACACUCCAUGAAAAAGAAAAAGAAAAAGAUAAGAGAUGAAGGGUCUUUUGCUUUGAAGCUUAACAUGAGUAAAACGUAUAAUAGACUAAAGUGUGCGCUCAUUAAUGUCAUGCUUAGCCGAAUGAGUUUCUCGAAGUUGUGGGUUCAGAAAAUUAUGAGAUGUAUUGAAAUGAUUUCUUAUUCUGUGGUUAUGAGCGGAGAGGUGGGUAAUUUGUUUCUUCCUUAUCGGGGGCUUAAACAAGGGGGCCCACUUAAUCCUUAUUUAUUUCUUAUUUGGGGAAGGUCUGUCAUCUUUUCUUAGAAUGGCUGCUACAAGUGGGGAUCUCAAGGGUGCUUGCAUUAAGAGACACGCUCCAGUUAGCACCCACUUGUUAUCUUUGCAAAUGACAGUCUUAUCUUUGGAAAGGCCACAACAGAUGGGGCUAUGGUGCUUAAUGAAAGACUGGAGAUUUAUGCCAAUAGUUUGGGUCAAUUAAUAAUUUUUGAUAAGUCUGGUAUGUUUUUAGUUCCAAUGUUGAGUAGAAUAGCAAAAAAGAGGUUUAUCGAAUUUUAGGGGUUAAUCCAAACAUUAAUCCAGAAAAGUAUAUUGGUCUCCUUUAAAUCGUGGGGCAAAACAAAAAGAGGGCUUUUAGGGAGAUAAAAGAAAAUCUAAUUAAAAGAGUGUUUAGUUAGAGUUCGAGAAUGCUUUCGGUGGGUAUAAAAGAGGCCCUUAUCAAAAUAGUAUUUCAGGGAGUUCCCAUGUAUACCAUUUCUUAUUUCUUGAUGCCCAAUUCCUUUUGUAAGGAACUUGAAACUGUUAUUGCUAGAUUUUGGUGACAGAAGAAAGCUGGGAGGAAUGGUUUACAUUGGAGUUCUUGGAAACCAUUGUGUAUUCCAAAAGAGGAUAAAGGUAUGGGUUUCCGUAAUCUUUCUAAAUUUAAUAUUUCUUUAUUAGCAAAACAAUGUUAGAGAUUGAUGGAAAAUCCAGGCUCGUUAACAAGAUUAAUUCGAGAAAAAUAUUAUCACGGUUUAAAUUUUCUAGAAGCCCCAUUGGGCUCAUACCCGUCCCUAAUUUGGAAAAGUAUAUGGUGUUCCAAAGCUUUGUUAAAAUCUGGUAUUGGAUGAAGGAUUGGUUCUGGGCUAUCUAUCUUGAUAUGGCAAGACUAUUGGUUACCGAGGAAGAAUAGAGCACUAAUUACUACAAACAAGGUAGCAAGAUUGGAAUGUGUAAGUGAUUUGAUUCUCCCAAACCCAAAUAGAAGAGAUCGACAAUUAAUCUACUCAACUUUCACGGAGGAAGAAGGAAAUUUGAUUGUAAGAAUCCCUAUACCUAUCACUAAUCAAUCUGAUAAAGUAAUAUGGUCUAGAGAAAAAUCAGGUUUUUAUUCAGUAAAAAGCAGUCACAAAGCCUUCAUCGAACUUCUCAUUUGAGUACUAUUGAGCAAUAUAAUUUUAAGCAAAUUUGGAGUUUAACGUGCCUAUCAAAAAUUCACAUUUUAAUGUGAAAAUUUGCAAAUAUAUAUAUUCCUACUUUCCAGAAUUUGCAUUAUAGAAGAAUUUUGUCAGAGAAUAGUUACCCGCGCUGUCAGGAUUGUAGUAAAUCACAUGUUCAUGUUGCUCGAUACUGUGCAUUCACUAUGCAUGUUUGAUCAAAAUUAAAUUAUCAGUGGCCAAGUUCAAUGCGUCUAUGAGUUUUAACAACUGGUUAAACUGGCUAUUCAUAAAUUCAUCCAGUAACAGUAAAGGGGAAAUAGCCAUUACAAUUUGGGCAAUCUGAUUUUCCCGCAACAAACUGAUACAUGAAAGAAAAGUACAAAGUGUGGAGGAAGUUGUUACCUUUAUCAGGGGUUAUGGCAGGGAGUACAAGAGGCGUUUUGGAAUAUUACAACACCCCUGACCCAGAUAGUUGAUAAAAUGGGAGCCCCCCCUACGAAUUGGGUCAAAGUGAAUGUUGACGUCGGUUUCUCAGAGGCAAAACAACAUGCAACAUUGGGUUUCUUAAUUAGAAAUGAUGAAGGUCUUAAAAUAGGGUCGGGAAUCAGAACUCAUAACCUAGUUAGAUCGGUGGUGUUGGCUAAAGCGAUGGCUGCUCUUCACGGGCUCUAGUUUGCGUUGGAGAUGGGUUUCACGAAAAUUAUUUUGGAAAGUGACUCUAAAACAAUUAUUAAAAACCUCCAAGCAACAAAGGAAGACUAUUCAGAGAUAAGACCGAUUACUUGGGAUGUGAAGGCUCUUACAAUGAAAUUUUCUUCAUGUCAUUUUGAGUUCGUUGCGGGAGAAGGUAACGCAGUGGCGCAUGCGAUGGCGGUCGAAGGGAUGAGAAGAUCAGAAGACUCGUUCUGGGUUGAAGAUGCCCUAUUAAAAGCGAUGGAAAUGGCAGAUUUGGAUCGUCUUUUCAUCUGGCCACCAUAAUUUCCCUCCUCUGCUGCUCGCUGCUCUGGGUUGAGAACUUCUGAUAUUCUAAAGGUAUAUCUCAACUCCCUUCCAUUGUUUGCUAGUUCUGAUUACCAGAUCUCGCAAGGUUUUGGCUGUUUGGGUUUUCUGGUCACUGAAGGGUUUGGAAGAAGCUUCUAGAGUUGCAUCAUGUUUUAUUUUCUUUAUUUUAUCUGUUUGAACUUCAUUUUCUAUCUGCUUUUGUUUUGGACUUCCAAGCCCAUUUUAAUCAAAAUGAACCGUUUAUUCAAAAAAAAAAAUAACUUUUUGACAAAAAAAAUACUUUUAAGCAAAAGCUAAAAAUUUUUAGUUUUGCUUUUGAUAAAAAAAAUAAUUUUGUAAAAUAUUUUUUUAUCUCAAAAAUAUUUUUAAAAAGCUCAAAAGUAUAUUGUUUAGUAAUAUUUUCAAAUCAAAAGUAUUUUUUGUCUCAAAAAUACUUUUGAAAAGUAAUACUAAUCAGACUCAAAAGUAAUUACGAUUUUUUUGUGUCCUUAGACACCGAUAGACACUCAAUUUGAUUGUUGGAACUGAAAAAAAAAGAAGUGUUACUUUCAUGUAUUUUCCAAUUAUUAUAUAUAAGGAGAUGGUAGUGAAACACUUUUUUUUCUCAAUUAAAAAAAAAAUUUAAGUGAGUAGUUUAUGGGAGAGUGAGUAGUUUUCUUUUUAGAUCUGACUUUUUUAAAGGUUGGAAUUAAUGAAUAUAAAAGUAAAAAGAUUGGUAAAUAUUGAUUAUUUACUGUUUUGUUCUACAUUUUCUUGAUUUAUAUUAACUUUUAAAGAGAUUUUAGUAACGUCAGUUAAGACCAUAAACUUAAUCAGAAAUAGUAAAAAACUUUAUGGCAGAAAAAAGUAAAAAAUAACUAAAAAAGAAAAAGGGAACUAAAAUAUGAUAACCUCUUAAUCCACUAAUGAAAUAAAAAUUUCACUAUUUAUAAUCUACUUCCCUUUUCCGGGCCAGUGUUUCAAACUAGAAACUUCUUUGGGUCAUCUUCAUAUUAGAUUGAAGCCCGAUUUUAGGUUUAUGUACCAAAACCAAAAAUUAGUUAUGUUUGGUAAAUGAAUUUGAAUACAUGCACCACCACUCUCAAUGCUCACCCACCUAAGCCCAUGACAUAAACUGCAUUUAAGUGAACCAGUGGCAGUUGGAGCCAUUAUGUUGGUUGAAAAAUAUUGUUGGCAGUGUUAUUCAGCAGUACUUGUUCUAAGGCUCCUACUACAUUUCUCAUUAUAAAUGUGGAGAAAUCUUGUUCUACUUUCCAUUCCAUGCAACACUAACUUUUAGAUUCCCUUUCCAUUGCACUGCUCUUUCUUUCUAUAGAAUUAGUCACUCCUGUUCUAGAUGAAGGUUCUCUCCCCAAUUCUUGCUUGCCUAGCGGUAAGUUUUUCGAUUUCAUGUGAUUAUUCGUUGUUGAAUGCAAAGAACUAUGAAGGGUUUUUUUUUACCUCAACUUUUCUUGUUUGUUAUUUGUUGUUACAGCUUGCUGUGGUGGUAAGCCAUGCUGCUCUCUCACCUGAGCAAUAUUGGAGCUAUAAGCUGCCAAAUACUCCAAUGCCAAAGGCUGUCAAAGAAAUUCUACAUCCAGGUGAGUGUUUAAUAUCCCAAGAAUUCUUUUUUUUUUUUUUGAAUCAUGUUUACUCACCGACAAAACAGGACUACUGUGAUAUAAGCCCUCAACUUGAGAUGGUCAGGAAAGUGAGGACUGUAGAAUAUCAGACCCUGGUUUCCCAUAGAAUUGAAUUGAGCCUAAUGCAGCAAACAAUCAUGUAAUCGUGGAAGCCGGGUAAUAAUCAGAAAUGAGGUGCUUAACAUAGUUCUGUUCCUGCAAUUUAUUAAAAGAGAAAGAGCCAGGAUACUUUCUGUUUAGCAAUAUAUUUCAGAAAACAUAGGAAUAGGAUGUGUUCUGCACAUAUUGACUUAUUAUGAAAAAAAUUGUUGGAAUCAUGCAUUCAUCAGCAUGUAUAUGAGCUCUCUAGCCCAUUUUGGUGUAUUUGCAGAACUGAUGGAGGAGAAAAGCACCUCUGUAAAUGUAGGAGGUGGUGGUGUAAACGUCAAUACAGGAAAAGGGAAGCCUGGGGGUGACACCCAUGUGAACGUUGGAGGCAAAGGAGUUGGAGUGAACACGGGAAAGCCAGGGGGUGGCACUCAUGUGAAUGUUGGAGACCCUUUUAAUUACCUAUAUGCAGCCAGUGAAACUCAAAUCCAUGAAGACCCGAAUGUGGCUCUUUUCUUUCUGGAAAAGGAUAUGCACCCCGGGGCAACAAUGAGCCUGCAUUUCACUGAAAAUACAGAGAAAUCAGCUUUCUUACCUUAUCAAACUGCCCAAAAAAUACCGUUUUCAUCUGACAAGUUGCCAGAAAUUUUCAACAAGUUUUCAGUGAAACCUGGAUCACUGAAGGCAGAGAUGAUGAAGAACACAAUUAAGGAGUGCGAACAGCCAGCGAUUGAAGGAGAGGAAAAAUAUUGUGCAACCUCACUGGAGUCAAUGAUUGACUAUAGCAUUUCCAAACUAGGGAAAGUUGAUCAGGCAGUCUCAACAGAAGUGGAAAAACAAACCCCAAUGCAAAAGUAUACAAUAGCAGCUGGAGUGCAGAAGAUGACAGAUGACAAAGCUGUAGUGUGC
rnacentral:lncRNA from 1 species